rnacentral:rRNA from 1 species
AAUGAACGUUGGCGGCGUGGAUUAGGCAUGCAAGUCGGACGGGCCGCAAGGCCAGUGGCGCAAGGGUGAGUAAGGCGACGGUAACCAACCCCGCGGGUGGGCAUAGCCGAGGGAAACUUCGGGUAAUUCCCAGCGAUAUGACGACCCGGCAUCGGGAUGUCAUCAAAGAUUUAUCGCCGCGGGACGGGCCGUCGUGGUAUUAGGUGGUUGGCGGGGUGACGGCCCACCAAGCCUGCGAUGCCUUCCGGGCGUGCGAGCGUGGCCCGGCACACUGGGACUGAGACACUGCCCAGACUCCUACGGGAGGCUGCAGUCGAGAAUUUUCGGCAAUGGGCGCAAGCCUGACCGAGCGACGCCGCGUGGAGGACGAAGGCCCUCGGGUUGUAAACUCCUGUCGAGGGGGAGGAAGCCGCAAGGUGACCG